CAUGGGCAGCGCCAUCGAGAAGUAGAAGAAGAAGAAAUUGACUACUUUAUUCUGUCUCUCCCCCUCUUUCUCUCUGGCUCUCGCUCACUCUUUAUCCCUCUUUCUCCCUCUCAUACAAAGAGAGGUGUUUCUCCAGUACCCUCACUGCAUAUAGUACUGACCAAACCAGAAGUGGACUCCUUGUUGGUCACUUAGGCUGCAGAUUUCUUCAAGCUCAGACUCCUUGCCACCCCUCCUCUCUCCCUCCUGUUCUUCCCCCACUGUCCCCAGUCCCCUAUACAGACUGGAACAGUACUGUGAUAUUUCUGGAGGAGCUGGGAGGGCUAAACCACGCCUCUGACUCCUUCCUCUCCGUCGUCAGACACGCCCAGCGGGCCAGCGACCUCAUCGUCGGGUGUCCGGUCCCGGUGGCGGAGCGUGGAGAGCUGGUGAGUCAGGUGUGUGGGAGGACCAGCAGGAAGAAGACCGGGGUGUGUUCCUCUAUCAACCCCUCAUCGUCUUCACCAAGCAGAAGAGCCUGGGACACACCGCCUACAGCUUCAAACACAGCACCAAGUGUCAGAGUGGAGAGGAGAGGGCAGCCUGGACACACGAUAUCACUCAGCUCCUUUGGACCCACACCAUACACAACACAGGUACGACCUCUAAACCCUGGCUUUACCCUCUCAGUCACACUGUUGUCAUGACUGGCCUGCUCGUGUCAGGUUACCGUGGACCACAAUCCAACAGAGAGAUCUCUGACACUCAUCAGAGGGAAAGAGAUCGAGAGCCAUUGAGGUGGGGGGGUUUUAUGACACCUCACGCCCAUUGUAAAUCUUAAGGCAGCAGGCAAAAUUCCUUUGUCCUCUCGGUAUGGAGAACCGGCCUCAGAACAUUAACAUGCAAUAACUGGACUUUGGGACAAUAGGUUUCGUCAGCCACAAUGGUGGUAAUGACGAUAGAUGGAAUACGAAAAUGAAUGUCAUUUUGUUAUAUUAUUAAAAGUUAAAGGACGACGUUAUAAUGAAAACUUUGUAACUAAGAGUUUUCCUAAUAUGUGCCUGAUGUUUGCAUAUCGUACAGUUGUGUGGAAAAUGUUCAGAAAAAAUAUUAUGUUUUUGUAAAGAACAAAUGUGAAGUUAGUUGUCUAAAUUGGAGCUGAGUAAAAUCCAGACCUUGCCUCAUAACUUGGUACGCCCAGAGAAUUGCCCUGAAGGGGGAAAUGCCCAUUUCUGACCCAAGGGUAUAAAACCUGUGGGUUAAGAAUUAACAUAUUAGACUAAGUGACCCUGAGCUGCAGCCAAGGUCUGAGUGGUCAGCAAACCCAAAACGCAACACAAGGUUGAGGAGGACAAAAUAACCUUUUUACAACCUAUUCCACGGACAAGUAGCCGUAUCUAAAGGGGGUGAAUUCAAGCAGGACCACCCGGUCACCACUCUCCAAGGAAUCGUGUGUCUACACUGUUUUCCUUCCCACGCUGGAACCAUCCACACUAAAAGAAAGGACACUGACAUCGUGAGGAGAAACAGAGAGUUACACCCGGUAACCGAAGAUGUAUGUAUAUUGUAUGUAUAAGUCUCUCUCUCUCUCUCUCUCC